CUCAGAACCACGGGAAUAAAAGAUGCACAGAGGUCACCUUGAACGCUUCUCUGAAUUCUGAAGUCUUUCUCCCAUGUCACUUUAAUAUAAGCCAUUGCAAUGAAACCGAGGGAGUGAAUUGGAGCUCCUACUCUUCCAAUCUUGUAACGAUCAUGAUUAAUGGCAGAAUGUUCUUUGGCAGUCCUAGUGAAGGACGAGUGAAUGUUUUUCCGCUUCUGUCUAAACAUGGAAACUUCUCCAUCCUCAUCCAUGAUCUGCAGUCUUCAGACAUUGGCACCUACUUAUGUAAGCUCAAAAGUGAAUGCUGAGGGUGAAAAUCAGUGAACGUCCGCACAGUGAGAUUCAGAGGUGCUAUAUGUAACUGCACUAGCAUACAUUCAGACAAAUGUUAAUGUAUACAAUAUAUUUAACAAAUCAAUGGUUUAAAUAUUUUUUUAUAUUUUACAUUCUUGCAGAUUCAUGACUUUUUGUGUUUAACUGUUGCAUUUUUUUCGCAGAGAUAUGCCGUUUAAAAGCAUGUGACAACAUGCCAGGCAUUCAAAAGCAUUUUAGCGCAUGCACAGAAGUAGUCUACAAUAAUAUUUGUAUAUAGACACAUGUACAUUUUGCAGAUGGUUAUUGGUCAAAAUGGCGUGAUUUCGAAACUGUUACAUUAUAACUGUAUUUUUUUCUUUGUAGAAAUCAAUGAGACAAACCCCUGGUUCUACUUUGCAGCUGGAGCUGGAUUGUUUAUUCUCCUUUUUAUUGCAUUCAGCCUGUUAUCAAAAUUCUAUGGAAAGUGUGUAAAUACAUCAUCAAAAUCUGAUCCCGUUGAUGGCGUACAGAGUGAAGGUAAUUCCCCCGAAGAAACACAGAAUACAGAAAGCAGUGGACAUAGAAACAAGAGGGGUAAGAAACAAGCUUUACUAUCAGCAUGUGGUCUUAAAAAACACACCCAAGGCUGCUUGGAACAUUUGAGAGAGAACAAGGUUAGACGUGCAUAUUGUUUUCUUGAAAAUAAUUGCAUUUAUUUGAUCAAAAUACAGUAA
rnacentral:lncRNA from 1 species